CAAAGUUGGACCUGGGGGUUGAGGGGCUCCUGGAGACCCCCAGAGUUGGACAUUGGGGUCAAGGAGCUCCUGGAGACCCCCAAAGUUGGACGUUGGUGAUCAAGGUCGAGGAGAACCCCCCCAAAAUUGGACUUUGAUCAUUGUGGGGGUCAAGGAGCUCCUGGAGACCCCCAAAGUUGGACGUUGGUCAUCAAGGUCAAGGAGAACCCCCCAGAUCAGACAUUGGGGUUGAGGGGCUCCUGGAGACCCCCAAAGUUGGAUGUUGGUGAUCAAGGUCAAGGAGAACCCCCCAAAUUGGACUUUGAUCAUCGUGGGGGUCAAGGAGCUCCUGGAGACCCCCAAAGUUGGACGUUGAUCAUCAAGGUCAAGGAGAAACCCCCAAAUUGGACAUUGAUCAUCGUGGGGGUCAAGGUGCUCUUGGAGACCCCCCAAGGUUGGACGUUGGCCAUCGGGGG